CGAUUCCCCUGAAGUGUGCUUUCUAAACCUCAACAGUAACGAUGAGAUAUACAAUAAAACAUAAUAAGUUUUCGUAAAGGAGGUCAUCUUCCCUGUUGUGCGUGUUGCAGGUGUUCACUCUGAACUUGGCGUUGCUGGAGUGCGUCUACAGUUUGCUCUCGUUCCUGCGACCGCUCAACUAUUACUUCAUCAAACAUGCUUUUCUCUACACGUUCAACCUCUUCUUCUACGGUCUGCUCAGCGCAGGUGAGGAAAUAAUAACUUUAACUUACGUUUCAAACACAGUAAAUAUAGAAGCUUGUGUUCGCUAUGAGACUUUUUGUAAACGCACUAUUUGCACAUCUUUUAACUCAAUGCAUUUAAAUGUAAGUAUCUGGAAAGUUUAUGUUUGAGUUGUUUGAUAUGUUCGUGUUUUUAUCAUUUAUGUCUUCAUAUCUCGUAUUUUACAUACUCAAUAGAUAUAAAUGUAUCUUAUUUGUAUUAUUUACUGUCACACAUGAAUUUGGGAUCAAUAAAGUUCAUCUAUGGAUUUAAAAGCAUUCUCUGUAAAACUUAAAGUGCAAUCAAACAAAUGUUCCUCCAUGAACACUUAACUUCUCACCUCCUCCUGUGUGUCCGCAGGGCAGCCUCUGUUCCAGGCGUGUGUGUGUGUGGAGAGAUACCUGGCCGUGGUGCAUCCCGUGUCCUACCUCAGGUUUAAAGACAACACACACGCUGCUUGAACACAAUGCUUCCAGGUAUGUAACACAUCUUCCGUGUGUCUCUCAGGUGGAACUCCGUGCGGCCUCGUCUCUGCGCGCUGCCUCUGGUUUGGGGUUUGACUUUCGUCUUCUGUGUUUGCAACGUCUUGAAGUUGGUCUUCGUCUUCCCGGUCGUGUUCCUGCUGCUGCUGCUGCUGCAGGGUCUCUGCUGCGUGCGCAUCCUGCAGGUCCUGCGUCAGCCCGGUCCAGGUGACGGCAGCAAACAGGAAGUGGAUCCAGCCAAGAAACAGGCCUUCGUGACAGUUCUGGUCAUUCAGGUGAUGAUGGUGUUGAACUACCUGCCCACGGUGCUGGCGGUGCCGCUGCGAGGUCGCCUGCGUCGGCACGCUUACCUGUGUCAACUGAUUCCUGCCUCACUCUCUUUCUCCGUGUUCGGCAGCUUCAUCCAGCCCCUCAUGUACCUGAUGAGGAGGGGGAAGUUACCCUGCAGGGCCAAAGCUUAACCUCCUGACUGUAGGACAGUCUUCUCCACAUUUAGGACGUUAAUGUCUUGAUAUCUUAUUUACAAACACUUCAAUAAAAUGUUUU
rnacentral:lncRNA from 1 species